rnacentral:rRNA from 1 species
CCUACGGGAGGCAGCAGUGGGGGAUAUUGCACAAUGGGGGGAACCCUGAUGCAGCGACGCCGCGUGGGUGAAGAAGCGCCUCGGCGCGUAAAGCCCUGUUCUUAGGGAAGAAGUCUUAGGUUGUGAAUAAUGACUUAAGGUGACGGUACCUAUGGAGAAAGCUCCGGCUAACUACGUGCCAGCAGCCGCGGUAAUACGUAGGGAGCGAGCGUUGUCCGGAAUUACUGGGCGUAAAGGGCGCGUAGGCGGGAACUUAAGUUAGAUGUGAAAACUCCGGGCUUAACCUGGAGACUGCAUUUAAAACUGGGUUUCUUGAGGGCAGGAGAGGAAAGUGGAAUUCCUAGUGUAGCGGUGAAAUGCGUAGAUAUUAGGAGGAACACCAGUGGCGAAGGCGACUUUCUGGACUGUACCUGACGCUGAGGCGCGAAAGCAUGGGGAGCGAACAGGAUUAGAUACCCUGGUAGUC